rnacentral:lncRNA from 1 species
UGAUCAAUUCCAAAACUACACACUCUCUCUCUCGUCUCUCUCUAAAAAUACUCUCCUUUUCUUCUUUGGAGAAACAAACUUUAACGUGCGCACUACCACCGGAGAUGAAACAGGCGUCGGAGUACACGAUAAGAAUAUCGAGAUACAGGAGGUGGAAUAAGUAACAAGAAAAGGAGAAAGUUAGCGGACCCCACAUAUUCAAAAAAUGGACGGCCAUAAGAGUCAGACGAAGCUUACUAGGACCAAAUCUUCUAUUCUCCGGUCAUCCCCAACCGUCCGAUCAUCAAUCCAUAGCUUUUCUUCGGUCUGCGAGAUAACGCCUGAUCGAGAGACAGAGGACCUUGAAGAGCAGAAGCCACAUGGCAAUCCAAGUUUGCCACUGGUUCGACCCGGUUCCAGAUUCGGUUUGGCUCCGUUUAUUGC